AUGUGGUGCAACCACGGGAAUAGCCUCAAGGCGGUGGCAGGGACCACGUGCCGCGAAGGGCGACGCAGCGGCGGCGCGGAUCGUUGCAGCCACGGGGCGGCGGUGCUGCGGCCCGAUGGGGCGACGCAGCGGCAGCCCGUUGCUCGAUCGAUGAAGGGGCGCGCUGAACUCGGGGACAGGGCGGUGACGGCCGGCGUAGGUCGACGAGCGGGCCGAUGCGCAGACGACGGCCGUGAGAGGCGCCUGCCGCGCGAGGCCGCCAGGUCGGGACGACAGGCGGGCAGAUGCACGAACGACAGCCGUUAG
rnacentral:rRNA from 1 species